rnacentral:rRNA from 1 species
UACAGAGGUGGCAAGCGUUGUUCGGAAUUACUGGGCGUAAAGGGCGCGUAGGCGGCUUAACAAGUCACUUGUGAAAUCUCCGGGCUUAACUCGGAACGGCCAAGUGAAACUGUCAAGCUAGAGUGCAGAAGGGGCAAUCGGAAUUCUUGGUGUAGCGGUGAAAUGCGUAGAUAUCAAGAGGAACACCUGAGGUGAAGACGGGUUGCUGGGCUGACACUGACGCUGAGGCGCGAAAGCCAGGGGAGCAAACGGG